rnacentral:lncRNA from 1 species
AGCUGCAGAAGGCAUCUGAGAAGAGCUUCACAACUGCUUAGUGUCUCUUCGCCAUUUGUUCCUUGUCAUCAUUCUUGUUUCCAUAACAGACUUUCGUGAGGCAAAUUACUGUAGGAUGGUAAUGUUCCAAUAACUCUGUGACAUAAAAUCUGAGAAGCACAAAGCAGCCACCAUCAGGCAUUGGAGAGAAGUCUUGUAGAUGUGAGAUCUGCAUAGCGGAUGGCUCCACAGUUAUAAAGCACAGGGAAGAAAGGGACCUAGGACCGCCUCGGGCAUUUUUGUUAAUGACAGAGAUGAAAUCUGCUCUUCAAAAACAUUGACUUGAGCUGCUUAUAGUGCUGCAAAAACAAACCUGUGAUGGACUCAGCAACAAGCUCUUCUGUUCAUUGGUGUAGGAAGCGCACGUA